CAGAAGGAGUGGGCUUUGCUGGAUUUUUCUGUGAAGAAUCUGUAGAGAUGUGAUGAGGGAAGCCAUCAGCACCUGGCUUCUAUAGGAAACAAAUGGGAAAACCAGAACAUUAAAGAUGAAUAGAAAAAGCCUGGGAGAAAUCUAAGCUGCAGUCCAAGAGGCCAACCGGAACAUCAACAUCAGACACUAAUCCAGCUGACUGGAUCAUGACCAUUUCACAGACAACUACCCAAAAACAUCUACAGACGGCACUGCUCCUACAGUCAACCCGAUACCAGAGAACUCUCCAUCCCCUCGUCAGCAGGAAGUAUCCAGAAAGAACAUGCCGCCCCUCGUCCUUUUUAUAACUAUAAGGUCUGGAUUGACAGAGCAGAAGCAUCACCAUUGUGGAUAAGCACCUCAUUUUAAAAUUCACCUUAAUCAAAGACUGCCUAAAUCCAAAGGGCAUCAGCCUAAUGGCUAAGGUCAGCAUGAUCACAAACCACAAAUAACAUCUCCAACCAAAAACAUUCCAGACACCUCCCACAGAGACAUGCUAGCCUGGGGAUAACCCCUCUCCUGCUGGAAAGAUGUCACCCCCACGAUAACCGCCCCUCCGACCAGAACAUUCCAACCCCACCAUAAACUUCUCCCCCACACAGAGACAUUCCAAGCUUGUAAUAAGCUCCCUCACCCUAAAACCAAUGUACACUCUUAGUCUGCAAGGAAAAGUGCUCCUGACUGACAUCAGCCAGAAGCCUCCCUCAGGUCUUUUCUAUAAUAAACCUGUCUUUGACUGUCAA